UAUUGAUGGCUGGACUUUGGUCAAUCCCAUUAUGGACAACAGGUGGUUGGUCUUUAAAAUAUAUCAGUAAGUAUAUUAAUGUAAUAAUUUUAUGGGUAUGUUAUUUGGAUAAAUAUUAAUUAGUACUAUUUACAAAUUCUUAACUAUUGUGAUUAC